rnacentral:rRNA from 1 species
GACGAACGCUGGCGGCGUGCUUAACACAUGCAAGUCGAGCGGACAGGCCCUGCUUUUGUUGGGCGCUCGAUUGGCGAACGGGUGAGUAACACGUGUGUAACCUGCCCUUGACUUUGUGAUAACUUCAGGAAACUCGGGCUAAUACCGGAUAGGAGCUCCUGCUGCAUGGUGGGCGUUGGAAAGUUUCGGCGGUUGGGGAUGGACUCGAGGCUUAUCAGCUUGUUGGUGGGGUAGUGGCUUACCAAGGCUUUCACGGGUAGCCGGCCUGUGAGGGUGAACGGCCACAUUGGGACUGAGGGACGGCGCAGACUGCUACGGGAGGCAGCAGUGGGGAGUAUUGCACAAUGGGCGGAAGCCUGAUGCGGCAACGCCGCGUGCGGGAUGACGGCCUUCGGGUUGUAAACCGCUUUCGCCGGUGACGAAGCGUGAGUGACGGUAAUGGGUAAAGAAGCACCGGCUAACUACGUG